rnacentral:pre_miRNA from 1 species
GAAAAUGAAAGUCUGAAGAUUUAUUCAUAUCAUCAUGAGUAAAUUAUUUUACUUGUGAUGACGUGGAUGAAUUUCAAACGUUUAUUUU